rnacentral:rRNA from 1 species
CAUACGGAACGUUGCUCUUUGCAGUUAGCGGCGGACGGGUGAGUAACACGUGGGCAACCUACCCUAUAGUUUGGGAUAACUCCGGGAAACCGGGGCUAAUACCGAAUAAUCUCUUUUGCUUCAUGGCAAGAGACUGAAAGACGGCAUCUCCCGGUCCCUAUAGGAGGGGCCCGCGGCGCAUUACCUAUUUGGUGAGGUAACGGCUCACCAAGGCAACAAUGCGUACCCAACCUGAAAGGGUGAUCGGCCACCCGGGGACGGAAACACGGCCCAAACUCCUACGGGAGGCACCAUUAGGGAAUCUUCCACAAGGGGCAAAAGCCUGAGGGACCACCCCCCCGUGAUUGAAAAAGGUUUUCGGAUCGUAAAACUCUGUUGUAAGGGAAAAACAAUUACAGUAUUAACGGGCUGUACCUUGACGGUACCUUAUUAAAAAGCCACGGCUAACUACUUGCCACCACCCGCGGUAAUACUUAGGUGGCAAGCGUUGUCCGGAAUUAUGGGGCGUAAAGCGCGCGCAGGCGGUCCUUUAAUUCUGAUGUGAAAGCCCACGGCUCACCCGUGGAGGGUCAUUGGAAACUGGGGGACUUGAUUGCAGAAGAGGAAAGUGAAAUUCCAGGUGUAGCGGUGAAAUGCGUAGAGAUUUGGAGGACACCAGUGGGCGAAGGCGACUUUCUGGUCUGUAACUGACGCUGAGGCGCGAAAGCGUGGGGAGCAAACAGGAUUAGAUACCCUGGUAGUCCACGCCGUAAACGAUGAGUGCUAAGUGUUAGGGGGUUUCCGCCCCUUAGUGCUGCAGCUAACGCAUUAAGCACUCCGCCUGGGGAGUACGGUCGCAAGACUGAAACUCAAAGGAAUUGACGGGGGCCCGCACAAGCGGUGGAGCAUGUGGUUUAAUUCGAAGCAACGCGAAGAACCUUACCAGGUCUUGACAUCCCGUUGACCACUGUAGAGAUAUAGUUUCCCCUUCGGGGGCAACGGUGACAGGUGGUGCAUGGUUGUCGUCAGCUCGUGUCGUGAGAUGUUGGGUUAAGUCCCGCAACGAGCGCAACCCUUGAUCUUAGUUGCCAUCAUUUAGUUGGGCACUCUAAGGUGACUGCCGGUGACAAACCGGAGGAAGGUGGGGAUGACGUCAAAUCAUCAUGCCCCUUAUGACCUGGGCUACACACGUGCUACAAUGGACGAUACAAACGGUUGCCAACUCGCGAGAGGGAGCUAAUCCGAUAAAGUCGUUCUCAGUUCGGAUUGUAGGCUGCAACUCGCCUACAUGAAGCCGGAAUCGCUAGUAAUCGCGAUCAGCAUGCACGCUGUGU